CUGCGUGGUUGAAGAUCAACUUGAAGAAAUUCAAUGAAGCGCAGAUAAACGGCGGGAGUAACUAUGGGUCUGUUAAAGUAGCCAAAUGCCUCGUCAUCUAAUUAGUGACGCGCAUGAAUG
rnacentral:ncRNA from 1 species